GAGAAAUUGUGAUUUAGAUAGGAUGACCAAGGAAGGCCUCACUUAGAAGGUGGCAUGAAUGAAGCCAUUAGCAAAGGAAAGAGAAAGACCUGAAUAACAAAUUUAGCUGAUUCUGAGGCAGAUUCUACUUCCUGUGUGCAGAAAAUUUACGAAGAAGCCAUGAAUCUCUGGAAACAUUCUGGAAACCUAGGAUUGAAGUAUAAAAUCUAUGGAGUUUCCUUCUGUCGCUGGCUGGAGUGCAAUGGCAUGAUCUUGGCUCACCACAACCUCCAGCUCCCGGAUUCAAGAGAUUCUCCUGCCUCAGCCUCCCAAGUAGCUGGGACUACAGGUGCCUGCCACCACGCCCAGCUAAUUUUUGUAUUUUUAGUAGAGACCGGGUUUCACCAUAUUGGCCAGGAUGGUCUUGAUCUCUUGGCCUCGUGAUCCACCCACCUCGGCCUCCCAAAAUGCUGGGAUUACAGGCGUGAGCCACCACGCCAGUCAAUCCAAUUUAAUUUUAUACUCACAUGGAUAACACUUGUCCUAGCUUAAUUAUUGAAUUGUCCAUCUUUUCUAGCACUUGUUCUUCCUCUAUAAGAAGAUCUUGGUUUAUCUUGGCUCUUCCAUAUACAUUUUAGAAUCAUGUUGUGAAGGUCAAGAACCGUGAAGAUGCUGAAAUUUUUACCCUACUUACGAAACCAACAUGUUAGUUCCGUGGAUGGAGUUCCACGAUGCUGGAAGAAGACAUGAACUCCUGGGUCAGAGAUAAAGGACUUUACUUAAGGAAGAGCAAGCAGCAAAGCAAGUUCCUUCCCUUUGAGAUUGCCAACAUUCUCAACAAGUAUCCCUGUGUGCUUUUGAUGAAGAGGAAGGAACAGUAUGGAAGAUUUCACAGGAUAUUCUGUGGUCAGGCCUGCAAGUACAUGCGUCACUUCUGCCCACAUUCAUAAGGACAGAGCUAAGUCUCAUAAAUACAAGGAAGGUGAAAAUGUGAUUUAACUGUAUGCCUAGCACAGAAAGGAGAAUCAGAAUCCCUGCCACAUUUUCUAAUGUAACUACAUUAUGGUCAUAACAUGUGUUCUGUAUGAUAUCAGUUCUUUGAAAAAUUUAAGACACAGCCCAUUUUUGCAAGUGUUUUUUUGUGUGUGUUGGAAAAUAAUGUAUAUUUUCCAAUUACUAAAUGCAAGUGUCUGUAUAUGUAUAUCAACUAAAUCAAAGUUGUUGAUUUUAUUGUUCAAAUUAUUUGCAUCCUAUUGGUUUUCCUUACCUACUUUAUGCAUUAAUAGCUAAGAGAUAUGUAUUAAAAAUUUCCCACAGUGUUGGUGGAUUUGUCAAUUUCUCCAUAGGUUUUAAAAUUUAUAUGCAAUUUAUUUUGAGGCUAUGAUAUUAAACAAUGUAAAUUUGCAAAUGUGAUCUCUUUUUAUUAUAUUCUUUAUUUUUAUAGAGUUCUCUUAUUAGUAUUUUUUUCCUUUAAAGAAUAUUUUGACUGAUAUUAAUUAUGGUCAUAUUACUUUUUUUUUUUGGUUAAAUUUGCCGGGUUCUCCUUCUGAAACUUUGAUUAGAUAUUUUGGACUUUCUCACUCUAUUCUUCUUGUGUCUUCAACUCUUUUAAAAUAUUUUGCAUCUUUUUAUCUCUAUUGCUUUAUUCUUUUUCUUCUUUUGCAGAAGAACAUUCCAUUUUAUUAAUUCUCUACUCCAUUGUAUCCAAGUUAUUUAACCUUUACAUUGAAUUUUUACUUUUAAUUAUUAUACUUUUUACUUCUAGGAGAACUUUGCCCUCAAAUUCUGCCUGAUUUCUUGCUGAUUAGUCAUAUUUUUACCUCUUUCUUGUUUAAAAAAUUUUUUUCCUUAAACACAUAAUUUUUCUAAAAAAUUUAUAAUAUAUUCCCUAUAUUUGUACAUUUCCAAUAUUCAAGUUUCUGUUGUUUAUUAUUUCUGUGACACUUGCAUGCAAUGGCUUAGUUCAAAUGUAUUUUGUGAUUUUUUAAAAUUGAUUCUGAAGUUGUAUUCGCAAUAAAACACAAUCCUUUGCACUUUUCUAAUAAAUACCAAGGUUGUGGA
rnacentral:lncRNA from 1 species